rnacentral:misc_RNA from 1 species
CUCUCCCAACAACUUUUGG